GACGAACGCUGGCGGCGUGCCUAAUACAUGCAAGUAGAACGCACAGUUUAUACCGUAGCUUGCUGCACCAUAGACUGUGAGUUGCGAACGGGUGAGUAACGCGUAGGUAACCUGCCUGGUAGCGGGGGAUAACUAUUGGAAACGAUAGCUAAUACCGCAUAAUAUUGAUUAUUGCAUGAUAAUUGAUUGAAAGAUGCUAUUGCAUCACUACCAGAUGGACCUGCGUUGUAUUAGCUAGUAGGUGAGGUAACGGCUCACCUAGGCGACGAUACAUAGCCGACCUGAGAGGGUGAUCGGCCACACUGGGAAUGAGACACGGCCCAGACUCCUACGGGAGGCAGCAGUAGGGAAUCUUCGGAAAUGGACGAAAGUCUGAACGAGCAACGCCGCGUGAGGGAAGAAGGUUUUCGGAUCGGAAAGCUCGGUUGUAAGAGAAGAACGGGGGUGAGAGUGGAAAGUUCACACUGUGACGGUAUCUUACCAGAAAGGGACGGCUAACUACGUG
rnacentral:rRNA from 1 species